UACGUAGGGUGCAAGCGUUAAUCGGAAUUACUGGGCGUAAAGCGUGCGCAGGCGGUGCUGUAAGACAGGUGUGAAAUCCCCGGGCUUAACCUGGGAACUGCAUUUGUGACUGCAUCGCUGGAGUGCGGCAGAGGGGGAUGGAAUUCCGCGUGUAGCAGUGAAAUGCGUAGAGAUGUGGAGGAAUACCGAUGGCGAAGGCAGCCCCCUGGGAUAACACUGACGCUCAUGCACGAAAGCGUGGGGAGCAAACAGG
rnacentral:rRNA from 1 species